AAAGAAAUGUGCUGUGGUCAUCCUUUGUUGUCCUGCAUUUCAUAAAUAUGUUUGUUCUUGUUUCAUUUUUUGUCCCUCAUGUUAUGUAGAUAAGCUUGUUGAUUAAUUUAUCUUGAAUUGCAAAAUCUGUGUAUUAAAUGUGGGACAGAUCUUAUUUUCUUGCAAAUUGGAUGUCAAAUCAUGUGAAGAAUCUUGUAUAGGUCUGCAUGUGUUUUCU
rnacentral:lncRNA from 1 species